rnacentral:lncRNA from 1 species
CAGCUGGACUGAGGGUAGUGUCAGCAGCCUCAGAGUCUGGGGAAAGCCACUGGGGAGAUGGAGACGGGGCCCUUCACAACACUGUGAUUAGCUGGGAUUUUAAGAGUUCAGUGAAUGAGUAGGAGAUGAUUAUCUCCACACCUCCCAGAACAAAAAUUUUCCCAUGACUGCGUAAUUUUUAUUAACAACUGAGCUACACAGAUUGAAAUCCUUAUGGGAAGAAAGUUGAGUGUCUUCUCCAGCUGUGGAAGACUCCCCAGAUUUGCUUCACAGUGUACCUUUGAACCGCGGAGAGAUGAAGCAUCCACAGCCAAGAGAGACAUUUCUCCACCCCUACAGCCAAGACAAUGAAAGCCCACUUAUUAUUCCACAUGAAAGGUCCCGUUGCAGCGUGACACGUUUUUCUCAAACCCAUUUCAGUUCUUCCAGAUCACCUCAGAAUCUUCUGUUGUCCCACCUUGUCCCACCACCAAUUUUAAAUUAAAAUAUUUUAUUU